CCUACGGGAGGCAGCAGUGGGGAAUAUUGGACAAUGGGCGAAAGCCUGAUCCAGCCAUGCCGCGUGUGUGAAGAAGGCCUUCGGGUUGUAAAGCACUUUCAGUGGGGAAGAAAGCCUUGGGGCUAAUACCCUCGAGGAAGGACAUCACCCACAGAAGAAGCACCGGCUAACUCCGUGCCAGCAGCCGCGGUAAUACGGAGGGUGCGAGCGUUAAUCGGAAUUACUGGGCGUAAAGCGCGCGUAGGCGGUCUGAUAAGCCGGUUGUGAAAGCCCCGGGCUCAACCUGGGAACGGCAUCCGGAACUGUCAGGCUAGAGUGCAGGAGAGGAAGGUAGAAUUCCCGGUGUAGGGGUGAAAUGCGUAGAGAUCGGGAGGAAUACCAGUGGCGAAGGCGGCCUUCUGGACUGACACUGACGCUGAGGUGCGAAAGCGUGGGUAGCAAACAGGAUUAGAUACCCUGGUAGU
rnacentral:rRNA from 1 species